GACGAACGCUGGCGGCGUGCCUAAUACAUGCAAGUCGAACGCAGUUGCGAACGGGUGAGUAACGCGUAGGUAACUGCCUCAUAGCGGGGGAUAACUAUUGGAAACGAUAGCUAAUACCGCAUACUGUGAGAUGGACCUGCGUUGUAUUAGCUAGUUGGUGAGGUAAAGGCGCACCAAGGCGACGAUACAUAGCCGACCUGAGAGGGUGAUCGGCCACAACGGGACCGGGAACCGGCCCAGAAGUCUAAGGGGGGCAGCAGGAGGGAAUCUUCGGCAAUGGGCGGAAGGCUGAACGAGCAACGCCGCGGGAGUGAAGAAGGUUUUCGGAGCGGAAAGCUCUUUUGUGAGAGAAGCGGUAACUAAACAGAAAGGGACGGCUAACUACGUGCCAGCAGCCGCGGUAAUUC
rnacentral:rRNA from 1 species